rnacentral:rRNA from 1 species
CCAGACUCCUACGGGAGGCAGCAGUGGGGAAUCUUCCGCAAUGGACGAAAGUCUGACGGAGCAACGCCGCGUGAGUGAUGACGGCCUUCGGGUUGUAAAGCUCUGUUAAUCGGGACGAAAGGCCUUCUUGCGAAUAGUGAGAAGGAUUGACGGUACCGGAAUAGAAAGCCACGGCUAACUACGUGCCAGCAGCCGCGGUAAUACGUAGGUGGCAAGCGUUGUCCGGAAUUAUUGGGCGUAAAGCGCGCGCAGGCGGAUAGGUCAGUCUGUCUUAAAAGUUCGGGGCUUAACCCCGUGAUGGGAUGGAAACUGCCAAUCUAGAGUAUCGGAGAGGAAAGUGGAAUUCCUAGUGUAGCGGUGAAAUGCGUAGAUAUUAGGAAGAACACCAGUGGCGAAGGCGACUUUCUGGACGAAAACUGACGCUGAGGCGCGAAAGCCAGGGGAGCGAACGGGAUUAGAUACCCCGGUAGUCCUGGCUGUAAACGAUGGGUACUAGGUGUAGGAGGUAUCGACCCCUUCUGUGCCGGAGUUAACGCAAUAAGUACCCCGCCUGGGGAGUACGACCGC